ensembl:lncRNA MIR497HG mir-497-195 cluster host gene
AGGACUUUCGCGGGAGACGGCGCCGUCUGAAACCAAAACUGCUCCUGGGGAAACCUUCCUUGACCUCUGUAGCUAGGGCGUGAGUAUUGGAAGAGCGAGGGCCUCCGGUUUGUUGGUCCCCCUCCCCCCGCACACGGGAAUGGAAGGAGCUGGUAUGUCACGUGACCAAGCCUGUCACGUCACGUGACGAGGAACUAGCCUUAGCGAGGCCAUGGGGGAAAAAGUCUAACUGGCGGAACUCCUGGGAACUGGGGCGAUGGGCUCUUAGUAUCGGAGGAUUGGAGCCAUCUGAUUUUUACCUGAAAUUCCUUAGUCUCUCCUGUGUUGGGGAAAUGGUAAGUAAGACAGAUUUUCACCAACAGAGAGCGUUUCUAUCUCUUCUCUACUCCUCCCUUUUAAAAUUGAGAUUCUGACAGUGUAAAGGAGUUAGGACCCCCUUUUGGGGAUCGGGCAUGGUUUUGUGGCUUUAAAAUGCUUUAAAAUUGCUGAAGUUUCUUGGUAUUGGAACUGUUUCUCCUAAGUAACAUUUUAUCAUCGCACGUGAAAUACUGUAACUCUCGGUGCCAAAUCCAGGAAAAAUGGGCGGUUAGGAGAAGUCCAGGGAAAGCCGACUGAGCAGGUUGUGAAGGUAAGCAGUCCUGUUAAAUGUACACAAAAAUGUCACUUUGCUUCUCUAAACUAGGAAAACUGAUAGGACUUUUGAAUAAGGUAGGAUAUAAGAUUUAAAAAUAUAAAUAGGUCAUCCCCUCCAAAAAAGCCGUUUGUAUGUUUAACUGGUGAGUGACAGAUCUGUAAUAAUUAUUUAGAAAUAGGAAUGUCGAGGCGGGCGGAUCACCUGAGGUCGGGAGUUCGAGACCAGCCAGGUCAACAUGGCGAAACCCUGUCUCUACUAAAAAUUACAAAAAUUAGCUGGAUGUGGUGGCAUGAGCUUGUGAUCCCAGCCACUCGGGAUGGUGAGGCGGGAUAAUCCCUUGAACCCGGGAGGCGAAGGUUGCAGUGAGCUGAGAUGGCGCCACUGCAUUCCCGCCUGGGCGAUAGAGACUACUUCUAAAAAAAAAAAAAAAAAGAAAAGAAAAGAAGUAGGGAUGUUUGAAGAACACAGUUUUGCAGUGAGCAAGUUGUACCCACUCUAGUGAGGACAGUGACCUCAGAAUAAUUGAGAGGGAUCAUUUGACCUUGAGACCCCAGGACCUAACAAAUAAACACUAUCAUUGGCUAGAAUAA